rnacentral:rRNA from 1 species
AUCAUUUAAAGAAAGCGUAAUAGCUCACUGGUCGAGUCGGCCUGCGCGGAAGAUGUAACGGGGCUAAACCAUGCACCGAAGCUGCGGCAGCGACGCUUAUGCGUUGUUGGGUAGGGGAGCGUUCUGUAAGCCUGUGAAGGUGUGCUGUGAGGUAUGCUGGAGGUAUCAGAAGUGCGAAUGCUGACAUAAGUAACGAUAAAGCGGGUGAAAAGCCCGCUCGCCGGAAGACCAAGGGUUCCUGUCCAACGUUAAUCGGGGCAGGGUGAGUCGACCCCUAAGGCGAGGCCGAAAGGCGUAGUCGAUGGGAAACAGGUUAAUAUUCCUGUACUUGGUGUUACUGCGAAGGGGGGACGGAGAAGGCUAUGUUGGCCGGGCGACGGUUGUCCCGGUUUAAGCGUGUAGGCUGGUUUUCCAGGCAAAUCCGGAAAAUCAAGGCCGAGGCGUGAUGACGAGGCACUACGGUGCUGAAGCAACAAAUGCCCUGCUUCCAGGAAAAGCCUCUAAGCAUCAGGUAACAUCAAAUCGUACCCCAAACCGACACAGGUGGUCAGGUAGAGAAUACCAAGGCGCUUGAGAGAACUCGGGUGAAGGAACUAGGCAAAAUGGUGCCGUAACUUCGGGAGAAGGCACGCUGAUACGUAGGUGAAGCGACUUGCUCGUGGAGCUGAAAUCAGUCGAAGAUACCAGCUGGCUGCAACUGUUUAUUAAAAACACAGCACUGUGCAAACACGAAAGUGGACGUAUACGGUGUGACGCCUGCCCGGUGCCGGAAGGUUAAUUGAUGGGGUUAGCGCAAGCGAAGCUCUUGAUCGAAGCCCCGGUAAACGGCGGCCGUAACUAUAACGGUCCUAAGGUAGCGAAAUUCCUUGUCGGGUAAGUUCCGACCUGCACGAAUGGCGUAAUGAUGGCCAGGCUGUCUCCACCCGAGACUCAGUGAAAUUGAACUCGCUGUGAAGAUGCAGUGUACCCGCGGCAAGACGGAAAGACCCCGUGAACCUUUACUAUAGCUUGACACUGAACAUUGAGCCUUGAUGUGUAGGAUAGGUGGGAGGCUUUGAAGUGUGGACGCCAGUCUGCAUGGAGCCGACCUUGAAAUACCACCCUUUAAUGUUUGAUGUUCUAACGUGGACCCGUGAUCCGGGUUGCGGACAGUGUCUGGUGGGUAGUUUGACUGGGGCGGUCUCCUCCUAAAGAGUAACGGAGGAGCACGAAGGUUGGCUAAUCCUGGUCGGACAUCAGGAGGUUAGUGCAAUGGCAUAAGCCAGCUUGACUGCGAGCGUGACGGCGCGAGCAGGUGCGAAAGCAGGUCAUAGUGAUCCGGUGGUUCUGAAUGGAAGGGCCAUCGCUCAACGGAUAAAAGGUACUCCGGGGAUAACAGGCUGAUACCGCCCAAGAGUUCAUAUCGACGGCGGUGUUUGGCACCUCGAUGUCGGCUCAUCACAUCCUGGGGCUGAAGUAGGUCCCAAGGGUAUGGCUGUUCGCCAUUUAAAGUGGUACGCGAGCUGGGUUUAGAACGUCGUGAGACAGUUCGGUCCCUAUCUGCCGUGGGCGCUGGAGAACUGAGGGGGGCUGCUCCUAGUACGAGAGGACCGGAGUGGACGCAUCACUGGUGUUCGGGUUGUCAUGCCAAUGGCACUGCCCGGUAGCUAAAUGCGGAAGAGAUAAGUGCUGAAAGCAUCUAAGCACGAAACUUGCCCCGAGAUGAGUUCUCCCUGACCCUUUAAGGGUCCUGAAGGAACGUUGAAGACGACGACGUUGAUAGGCCGGGUGUGUAAGCGCAGCGAUGCGUUGAGCUAACCGGUACUAAUGAACCGUGAGGCUUAACCUUACAACGCCGAAG